rnacentral:lncRNA from 1 species
ACCCAGUCUAAAAUGUGACUUGUGUAGCUAUAGGAUGACUCUGUACUCCCUUUUUCUAUACAGGAAAUGUUGAGGUUGUGAGAGAACUGGAGGGAUAUUAGGCCAUCGUAAGAGUACUCUCCCCGCUGAGUCUCUGUCUCUGCUGAGUUUUGCUCUAAGAAUCUUGAAUGCUGACGUUCGUAGCCAGGAGAAGACAUGGUUUAUUUCUCUCUGACCAGGUUAUCCUUCUAAGCCGACAGAAACUGCUGGAAUGGUGUCUGUCCUAGGAGUUCACCUAAAUGAGUUCAUGCCAUUACUUAUCUGGGAAGAAGGUCUUUUCAAAUCAUCUCAUUCCCAGCUUGAGCUCUGAGAACUUCCAAGAAGAGUAAGAAGAAAACCUAAGUAUGGUUAGUAAACUUCAAAAUAGUUUUUUUUAUAAUUGCUGUUUCUCUUCUGGGGAAUAGCCUGUGAUUGAGAACAGGUGAAGAUAGGUGCUUUGGGAUGCGGAUAAAACUUGAAAGCAAAUGCCACAAAUUUCCCUUUAAUGUAGAGUGACCUCAAUCAAAGACCCAAACUCCUUUAAUAUUAACCAGAUGUAGGAAAGUAGUCUUCUAGGGAUUCAGCUCUCUCUACUAUGCAGUCUGCCCUGCCCUGCCCUGCCCAACCCGGC